GGCACCGCAGGCCUGAGGGCCCGCGCUCCUCUGAGCCCUUCAAAGUGCUCCGAUGGGAGGGCUCGGCCGCUCUCGGGGCUAAACAGAAGCCGAUUGUGAAAUCUGAUUUCCAAGCUUCCGCAGUUUCUAAAUGGGCAUUAAGCGGAAAAAAGCUGACACCAGAUGUUUCUUUAGACUCUUCCCUGUCCUGAGUGAGUACACACCAGAGACAAACAGUCUGUUCUGUCAUCUUGCUCCUCUUCAGAACACCAACAGUUUCAACACUUAGUUAAGAAAAAGAAAUUUAAACUGCUACCAACUGCAUGUCCAGCUAAAGAUAUGUAAGUCUUCACUCUUAAAAUUAAAUAAAAG
rnacentral:lncRNA from 12 species